rnacentral:tRNA from 1 species
GCGGAUGUAAUUCAGUGGUAGAAUGUCUGCCUUCCAAGCAGAACGUCGUCGGUUCAAGUCCGAUCAUCCGCUCCA